rnacentral:rRNA from 1 species
UGGGGAAUAUUGCACAAUGGGCGCAAGCCUGAUGCAGCCAUGCCGCGUGUAUGAAGAAGGCCUUCGGGUUGUAAAGUACUUUCAGCGGGGAGGAAGGGAGUAAAGUUAAUACCUUUGCCCAUUGACGUUACCCGCCGAAGAAGCACCGGCUAACUCCGUGCCAGCAGCCGCCGUAAUACGGUGGGUGCAAGCGUUAAUCGGAACUACUGGGCGUAAAGCGGACGCAGGCGGUUUGUUAAGUCAGAUGUGAAAUCCCCGGGCUCAACCUGGGAACUGCAUCUGAUACUGGCAAGCUUGAGUCUCGUAGAGGGGGGUAGAAUUCCAGGUGGAGCGGUGAAAUGCGUAGAGAUCUGGAGGAAUACCGGUGGCGAAGGCGGCCCCCUGGACGAAGACUGAAGCUCAGGUGCGAAAGCGUGGGGAGCAAACAGG